rnacentral:rRNA from 1 species
CAGCCGCCGCGGUAAUACGGAGGGUGCAAGCGUUAUCCGGAUUUAUUGGGUUUAAAGGGUCCGUAGGCGGAUCUGUAAGUCAGUGGUGAAAUCUCACAGCUUAACUGUGAAACUGCCAUUGAUACUGCAGGUCUUGAGUAAAUUUGAAGUGGCUGGAAUAAGUAGUGUAGCGGUGAAAUGCAUAGAUAUUACUUAGAACACCAAUUGCGAAGGCAGGUCACUAAGAUUUAACUGACGCUGAUGGACGAAAGCGUGGGGAGCGAACAGGAUUAGAUACCCCGGUAGUCCCUGUCUCUUAUCA